rnacentral:misc_RNA from 1 species
GAUGAAGAACGUAGCGAAAUGCGAUAACUAAUGUGAAUUGCAGAAUUCCGUGAAUCAUCGAGUCUUUGAACGCACAUUGCGCCCCCUGGUAUUCCGGGGGGCAUGCCUGUCCGAGCGUCAUUACAACCCUCAAGCCCGGCUUGUGUAAUGGGCGGCCGUCUCUCCCCCCGGGGGGAGACGCCCCCGAAACUCAGUGGGGAUGUCGCGAUACCGAAGCCUCAGCUAAUGGGUAAACCACAGCUGCAAUGGCCGCGGCCGGCGUCCGCCUUCCACGGUCCGUCCGCCUAGCGCGGGCGGCCUUCUCAAGGUUGAACUCGGAUCAGGUAGGGAUACCCGCUGAACUUAAGCAUAUCAAUAAGCGGAGGA